UUUUGAUUUAUUUUAAAUAUUUAUUUUGAUUAAUGUAUUUAUUUGGUUUUAAUUAAUUCAAUUUGUUAAUUAGGGGUUGGUUAUUGAUUUUCCCACUUGAAUCUUGACCUAUUAUUUUGUACACUUUUAGACACAUGAACAUAGGCCAUUUAGGUUUUCAAUUGACUUAAAGGUUAUUAAUUUUAGAUUAUUUUUUAGCCUUAUCUUGAAGUUGGUUUGGUUUGAUCAACCAUUGAUGAAUUUC
rnacentral:lncRNA from 1 species